UGGCUCGCUAUGCUCUUGGUCGGAUUGCGGCCCGACCCCCCUCUAUCGUUGCUUACAUCGCCGUGGUCUCAACUGCCUUGCCUACAUCGUCCCACUUUCGGCCUAACCGCGCCUUCGCCGCCUCUAGACUCUAGUCUUCAGCUCCAUCCGAUCGCACCCUCAGUUGCCUUCGGCCCUCCAUUUCAUUGGGAUCUCUCGAUUGCCUCCAACUCCUUCACCUCUGGCAAGUCAUCGCGGUCUUCGCUUCCGGUAAGCCUCCGGCAUUGCUAAGAAGAAGGCAAGGAGAAGGCCG
rnacentral:lncRNA from 1 species